UUGUGAGGUUAAGCGACUAAGCGUACACGGUGGAUGCCCUGGCAGUCAGAGGCGAUGAAGGACGUGCUAAUCUGCGAUAAGCGUCGGUGAGGUGAUAUGAACCGUUAUAACCGGCGAUUUCCGAAUGGGGAAACCCAGUGUGUUUCGACACACUAUCAUUAACUGAAUCCAUAGGUUAAUGAGGCGAACCGGGGGAACUGAAACAUCUAAGUACCCCGAGGAAAAGAAAUCAACCGAGAUUCCCCCAGUAGCGGCGAGCGAACGGGGAGGAGCCCAGAGCCUGAAUCAGUGUGUGUGUUAGUGGAAGCGUCUGGAAAGGCGCGCGAUACAGGGUGACAGCCCCGUACACAAAAAUGCACAUAUUGUGAGCUCGAUGAGUAGGGCGGGACACGUGGUAUCCUGUCUGAAUAUGGGGGGACCAUCCUCCAAGGCUAAAUACUCCUGACUGACCGAUAGUGAACCAGUACCGUGAGGGAAAGGCGAAAAGAACCCCGGCGAGGGGAGUGAAAAAGAACCUGAAACCGUGUACGUACAAGCAGUGGGAGCCUCUUAAUGGGGUGACUGCGUACCUUUUGUAUAAUGGGUCAGCGACUUAUAUUCUGUAGCAAGGUUAACCGAAUAGGGGAGCCGAAGGGAAACCGAGUCUUAACUGGGCGUUAAGUUGCAGGGUAUAGACCCGAAACCCGGUGAUCUAGCCAUGGGCAGGUUGAAGGUUGGGUAACACUAACUGGAGGACCGAACCGACUAAUGUUGAAAAAUUAGCGGAUGACUUGUGGCUGGGGGUGAAAGGCCAAUCAAACCGGGAGAUAGCUGGUUCUCCCCGAAAGCUAUUUAGGUAGCGCCUCGUGAAUUCAUCUCCGGGGGUAGAGCACUGUUUCGGCAAGGGGGUCAUCCCGACUUACCAACCCGAUGCAAACUGCGAAUACCGGAGAAUGUUAUCACGGGAGACACACGGCGGGUGCUAACGUCCGUCGUGAAGAGGGAAACAACCCAGACCGCCAGCUAAGGUCCCAAAGUCAUGGUUAAGUGGGAAACGAUGUGGGAAGGCCCAGACAGCCAGGAUGUUGGCUUAGAAGCAGCCAUCAUUUAAAGAAAGCGUAAUAGCUCACUGGUCGAGUCGGCCUGCGCGGAAGAUGUAACGGGGCUAAACCAUGCACCGAAGCUGCGGCAGCGACGCUUAUGCGUUGUUGGGUAGGGGAGCGUUCUGUAAGCCUGUGAAGGUGUGCUGUGAGGCAUGCUGGAGGUAUCAGAAGUGCGAAUGCUGACAUAAGUAACGAUA
rnacentral:rRNA from 1 species